GACGAACGCUGGCGGCGUGCUUAACACAUGCAAGUCGAACGAAAAUUCCCUGGUUUUGUGGGAUACUCGAGUGGCGAACGGGUGAGUAACACGUGGGUAACCUGCCCUUAACUUUGGGAUAACUUCAGGAAACUGGGGCUAAUACCGGAUAAGAUCUCCUACUGCAUGGUGGUUGUUUGAAAGUUUCGGCGGUUGUGGAUGUACUCGCGGCUUCUCCGCUUGUUGGUGUGGUAGUGGAUGUCCCAGGAUUUGAAGGGGAGCCGGCCUGAGAGGGUGACCGGCCACAUUGGGCUAGAGAUACGGGCCAGAGUCAUACGGGAGGAAGCAGCGGGGAAUUGUGCAAACUGGGCGGAAGCAUGAUGCAGGAACUCCGCGUGGGGGAUGACGGUCUUCGGGUUGGAACACGUUUUCGCCUGUGACGAAGCGUGAGUGACGGUAAUGGGUCAAGAAGCAACGGCUAACUACGUG
rnacentral:rRNA from 1 species